GUGACAGCCCCGUACACAAAAAUGCACAUACUGUGAGCUCGAUGAGUAGGGCGGGACACGUGGUAUCCUGUCUGAAUAUGGGGGGACCAUCCUCCAAGGCUAAAUACUCCUGACUGACCGAUAGUGAACCAGUACCGUGAGGGAAAGGCGAAAAGAACCCCGGCGAGGGGAGUGAAAAAGAACCUGAAACCGUGUACGUACAAGCAGUGGGAGCCUCUUUAUGGGGUGACUGCGUACCUUUUGUAUAAUGGGUCAGCGACUUAUAUUCUGUAGCAAGGUUAACCGAAUAGGGGAGCCGAAGGGAAACCGAGUCUUAACUGGGCGUUAAGUUGCAGGGUAUAGACCCGAAACCCGGUGAUCUAGCCAUGGGCAGGUUGAAGGUUGGGUAACACUAACUGGAGGACCGAACCGACUAAUGUUGAAAAAUUAGCGGAUGACUUGUGGCUGGGGGUGAAAGGCCAAUCAAACCGGGAGAUAGCUGGUUCUCCCCGAAAGCUAUUUAGGUAGCGCCUCGUGAAUUCAUCUCCGGGGGUAGAGCACUGUUUCGGCAAGGGGGUCAUCCCGACUUACCAACCCGAUGCAAACUGCGAAUACCGGAGAAUGUUAUCACGGGAGACACACGGCGGGUGCUAACGUCCGUCGUGAAGAGGGAAACAACCCAGACCGCCAGCUAAGGUCCCAAAGUCAUGGUUAAGUGGGAAACGAUGUGGGAAGGCCCAGACAGCCAGGAUGUUGGCUUAGAAGCAGCCAUCAUUUAAAGAAAGCGUAAUAGCUCACUGGUCGAGUCGGCCUGCGCGGAAGAUGUAACGGGGCUAAACCAUGCACCGAAGCUGCGGCAGCGACGCUUAUGCGUUGUUGGGUAGGGGAGCGUUCUGUAAGCCUGCGAAGGUGUACUGUGAGGUAUGCUGGAGGUAUCAGAAGUGCGAAUGCUGACAUAAGUAACGAUAAAGCGGGUGAAAAGCCCGCUCGCCGGAAGACCAAGGGUUCCUGUCCAACGUUAAUCGGGGCAGGGUGAGUCGACCCCUAAGGCGAGGCCGAAAGGCGUAGUCGAUGGGAAACAGGUUAAUAUUCCUGUACUUGGUGUUACUGCGAAGGGGGGACGGAGAAGGCUAUGUUGGCCGGGCGACGGUUGUCCCGGUUUAAGCGUGUAGGCUGAUUUUCCAGGUAAAUCCGGAAAAUCAAGGCUGAGGCGUGAUGACGAGGCACUACGGUGCUGAAGCAACAAAUGCCCUGCUUCCAGGAAAAGCCUCUAAGCAUCAGGUAACAUCAAAUCGUACCCCAAACCGACACAGGUGGUCAGGUAGAGAAUACCAAGGCGCUUGAGAGAACUCGGGUGAAGGAACUAGGCAAAAUGGUGCCGUAACUUCGGGAGAAGGCACGCUGAUAUGUAGGUGAAGUCCCUCGCGGAUGGAGCUGAAAUCAGUCGAAGAUACCAGCUGGCUGCAACUGUUUAUUAAAAACACAGCACUGUGCAAACACGAAAGUGGACGUAUACGGUGUGACGCCUGCCCGGUGCCGGAAGGUUAAUUGAUGGGGUUAGCGGUAACGCGAAGCUCUUGAUCGAAGCCCCGGUAAACGGCGGCCGUAACUAUAACGGUCCUAAGGUAGCGAAAUUCCUUGUCGGGUAAGUUCCGACCUGCACGAAUGGCGUAAUGAUGGCCAGGCUGUCUCCACCCGAGACUCAGUGAAAUUGAACUCGCUGUGAAGAUGCAGUGUACCCGCGGCAAGACGGAAAGACCCCGUGAACCUUUACUAUAGCUUGACACUGAACAUUGAGCCUUGAUGUGUAGGAUAGGUGGGAGGCUUUGAAGUGUGGACGCCAGUCUGCAUGGAGCCGACCUUGAAAUACCACCCUUUAAUGUUU
rnacentral:rRNA from 1 species